UAGAAAGCAAGAAAGAGGAAAAUGAGUGAGGAGGUGAAAUUUCACCGGCUCGACAUUUUCAUCUCGUAGUCCGUCGCACCUCUCCUCUUCCCUCCGGAGGUCCUCCUACCCCGCAUUCCUGCCUUGUCAUCAUCGCACCAGAGGCGUCACCGCUCUCACCGUCGGCUCUCCACUCCGCCGGGAAGAGGGACGCAGAGACAGGGAAGCAUCAACCACUGCCAUAGUUGCCACUCCUUCCCCUCUGUUACUGCCCCGUGAGUCUCUCAAUAUCUCUCUCGCUUCUCCUCCUUUGUUGUAGAUUUGGGGAUUUGCAUUUUGGAGUUCCGAUUUGGGGGUUUUGGAAGUAAUCAAUCUGCAUGCAGUAUACUUACCACUGUGUCUGCUCUACUCAACUUGGCCCAUUGCGGCGGUGAUAAAGCUGUGCGGGAGAUCCAAACCGUCGACU